rnacentral:rRNA from 1 species
GAUGAACGCUGGCGGCGUGCUUAACACAUGCAAGUCGAACGGAAAGGCCCAAGCUUGCUUGGGUACUCGAGUGGCGAACGGGUGAGUAACACGUGGGUGAUCUGCCCUGCACUUCGGGAUAAGCCUGGGAAACUGGGUCUAAUACCGGAUAGGACCACAUUUUGGAUGGUGUGGUGGAAAGUUUUUCGGUGUGGGAUGAGCUCGCGGCCUAUCAGCUUGUUGGUGGGGUAAUGGCCUACCAAGGCGUCGACGGGUAGCCGGCCUGAGAGGGUGUACGGCCACAUUGGGACUGAGAGACGGCCCAGACGCCUACGGGAGGCAGCAGUGGGGAAUAUUGCACAAUGGGCGCAAGCCUGAUGCAGCGACGCCGCGUGGGGGAUGACGGCCUUCGGGUUGUAAACUCCUUUCGCUAGGGACGAAGCGUUAUGUGACGGUACCUGGAGAAGAAGCACCGGCUAACUACGUG